rnacentral:misc_RNA from 1 species
CCAAUAGCGUAUAUUAAAGUUGUUGCAGUUAAAAAGCUCGUAGUUGAAUUUCGGGGUUAGUAAGUUGGUUGUGCCACUGGUAUGUACUGGCUUUACUGAUUCCUCCUUCUUGUAGAACCGUAAUGCCAUUAAGUUGGUGUUGCGGGGAAACAGGACUGUUACUUUGAAAAAAUUAGAGUGUUUAAAGCAAGCUAACGCUUGAAUACAUUAGCAUGGAAUAAUGAAAUAGGACGUUCGAUCCUAUUUUGUUGGUUUCUAGGAUUGACGUAAUGAUUAAUAGGGAUAGUUGGGGGCAUUAGUAUUCAAUUGUCAGAGGUGAAAUUCUUGGAUUUAUUGAAGACUAACUACUGCGAAAGCAUUUGCCAAGGAUGUUUUCAUUAAUCAAGAACGAAAGUUAGGGGAUCGAAGACGAUCAGAUACCGUCGUAGUCUUAACCAUAAACUAUGCCGACUAGGGAUCGGAUGAUGUUAAUUUUAUAAUGACUCAUUCGGCGCCUUACA